AUGAGCCAGGAAGACCCCGAGGCCAAAGAGAAAUGGGCCCCUAAGCCUGAAGGAGAUCAGGCUUUGGGGGGGAUCCAAAAUCUGCAUGAGCUACCUUUCUGUUUCAGGUAUUGGCCCAUGGAGAAUCUCUGCACAAUAGACAGUGCCAUCAAAGGGAAGCUGGAGGGACUGUUGUUCUAUAAUCGUUGGCAAGAGGGGGCCACACGCAUUGACAGCCACAUUGAGGAUGAGCCCUUUGAGGACGAGGUCUUUGUGGGGACAUCAAGGGCACUGACAGCAUAUCUCCUUAAUAUGGCAUCGCCACGGACACACCAGAGAGCCUUUGGCGCCACAUUGUUGAUGACUGAGAUCAUGUUCCUCAGCAACGUCCUUGGGAGGAUAGUCCCAAGAGACAACCCCAGACAUCUGUGCCCUCUAGGGAGCUCUACGAGCCAGGGAAUGGCAGAGGAAGGAGACCUUGGUGAAGUGAUGAGUUCUUUGUCCAAGACAGGAUCCUGGGGCUACCAGACAGUGAGGAUGUUGGUGGGAGAACCACAGGGGAGCUUUGGAAUCAAGUCUUCUGGACCAAGCAGGAACCAAAGCUGAGGCCCAGGCAGGGACAGAGCCAUAGUACAGACCUCACCAAUCACGAGUACUGUGAAUUAUGUGAACUGUGCAGGGCAGGUUCUUUCUUGACGCUGCUUACUUUCCCUCUUGUGGAUGUCUACGGGUCGGGAGAUGUCUUGGGAGGGAGGCGGGGAAAAGGAAAGCCUCAAGGGUAAGUACUAGAAGUCUGGCAAGUUGCAUGAGUCCAUGGGACUGGACCUACGAGAGGGUGGUCGAGCCUGCAGCUGGAUUCUCUAACUCUCCUUGGAUGGGUGGGUGGGAGCAGAGCACCAUGUGGGACGGAAUGGAACUUUCAGUGGGUCUGUGAUCUCAUCAGUUUAGAGACUCACUCCGUUCACCAAGAUGGUGACCCAAUGGUACCAGUACUCUCAUGAGGCCAUAAAUCAGUGUGAUCUCAGGCAACCCACAAGGCAACCAAGAGAUGCAUGGCACCUGUAUGAAUGUGAGUGCCAGUGCUGAGAACAAGAUCUGGUGUGGCCCAAUGUCAAUAGGAUGGACUGUGUGUCUAAGGAAGAGACGCCCAUUAUUAGAAGCCUGACUGCUCAGCGAUGAGCUCCUUGGUCAUAAGUCCUAUGAAACCGGUUCUUUAACAAACUGCCUCUGUGGUCCCGAUGGAAAGUCAAACUCCCCUUGAGCUCCCUUGAAAGAUGUGUACUGCCCUUUCUUUCCUCCAUCCCCUGGGCACCUGCCUCUCCUUACUCCCCAAAACAAGUAAGUGCCAUGGGAUACAGGCCAAAACUUAUUGGGAAAAAGGCUCGCCACAGAAGACGGGAGGAAGGGGGAACUGAGCUCUUGGUGGGGCUGGGGUUUCCUAGAAGGCAGAGGGGAGGAGGCCAGUUUCCAGGUCAGCCUCCAAGUGGCUGGAGAGGGACAAGAAGGGAAGUGGUGGCAUCCUCCCUUUGUGAUCUAUAAUUAGCCUUUCCACCACCUGCGCAGGCCAUGAGCAUGACUCAAGGCUCUACUCUCCCCACCACCACCCCCCCAACAUACUUCAGGACCUGCUCUUGGAUUUUUUUCAAGAUCAGAGGAUUCCAGAGAAUUCAGAGCAGGAAGAAAAAUGAAAUGAGGAAACUGAGGCCUAGAAACGGGAAGAGCCCAAAGACCACACAUAGUAAGUAGCAGAGAUAGACUACGAACCCAGACGGUCCAAGGGCUAGUGUAGUGUAAACUUGGUUCGGACGAGCCUUUGGAUAGUAGCUCGCGGCCCUGGGGUUUCAAGCAGGCAACUGCAAUGAGGUAUGCCAGCCGAGUCAGAGAGAAGCUCCCAGUCCUACCAUUGAGGAGCCGUGGCUCCCGAACCAGGCCCGGCAAGCCUUGGGUGUCUCCAGAGCCAAGAGCAGUUGUAAAAUUCUUCACAUUCUCCAAAUCGAGUACGCUUGGAUUCCCAAGGCAGACCCAGAUGUCCCUUAUUUCGCACAAGCUGCCAAGAGCAGUUGUACAAUUCUUCACAUUCUUCAGAUCUGAAUCCCCAAGGCAGACCCAGAUGUCCCUUAUUUCACGCACAAAGCCAUGUGCCUGAGCCAUUAUGGGCUGUCUAAACUCUGGUGAAUCAGAUCCUGCCUCGGGGGCCCCUGCAAGAUUGCUACUGAGAAAUUCUCUGGCGGAUCUUUCGGGUCCACUCAAUGCGUUGGUUGCCUGGUGGGUAAAUAAAAUGCCUUUAGGAGAACUUCA
rnacentral:lncRNA from 1 species